GCUCUUUCCUUUCGCUGCUGCGGCCGCAGCCAUGAGUAUGCUCAAGCUUCAGAAGAGGCUCGCCUCUAGUGUCCUCCGCUGCGGCAAGAAGAAGGUCUGGUUGGACCCCAAUGAGACCAAUGAAAUCGCCAAUGCCAACUCCGGUCAGCAGAUCCGGAAGCUGAUCAAAGAUGGGCUGAUCAUCCUUAAGCCUGCGAUGGUCUAUUCCGGUCUUGAUUCCGGGAAAACACCUUGGCGGGAAGGGCAGGCUCAUCAGGAUAGGUAAGCAAGAGGGUACAGUCAAUGCCUGAGUUCCAGAGAAGGUCAAGUGGAUGGGGAGAAUGAGGAUUCUGCACCGGCUGCUCAGAAGAUACCGGGAAUCUAAGAUUGAUGGCCCCAUGUAUAACAGCUUAUACCUGAAGGUGAAGGGGAAUGUGUUCAAAAACAAGCGGAUUCUCAUGGAACACAGCUGCAAGCUGAAGGCAGACAAGGCCCGCAAGAAGCUCUUGGCUGACCAGACUGAGGCCCUCAGGUUCAAGACCAGGGAAGUAGCAAGCGCCAUAAAGAGCGCCUCCAGGCCAAGGAGGAAGGAGAUCAUCCAGACUGUUCAAGGAGGAAGAGACCAAGAAAUAA